rnacentral:rRNA from 1 species
GAUGAACGCUGGCGGCGUGCCUAAUACAUGCAAGUCGAGCGAACGGACGAGAAGCUUGCUUCUCUGAUGUUAGCGGCGGACGGGUGAGUAACACGUGGAUAACCUACCUAUAAGACUGGGAUAACUUCGGGAAACCGGAUCUAAUACCGGAUGAUAUUUUGAACCGCAUGGUUCAAAAGUGAAAGACGGUCUUGCUGUCACUUAUAGAUGGAUCCGCGCUGCAUUAGCUAGUUGGUAAGGUAACGGCUUACCAAGGCAACGAUGCAUAGCCGACCUGAGAGGGUGAUCGGCCACACUGGAACUGAGACACGGUCUAGACUCCUACGGGAGGCAGCAGUAGGGAAUCUUCCGCAAUGGGCGAAAGCCUGACGGAGCAACGCCGCGUGAGUGAUGAAGGUCUUCGGAUCGUAAAACUCUGUUAUUAGGGAAGAACAUAUGUGUAAGUAACUGUGCACAUCUUGACGGUACCUAAUCAGAAAGCCACGGCUAACUACGUG